UAUGGUGACUAUUGCGAGGGUGUCCACCUCUUCCCAUUCCGAACAGAGAAGUUAAGCCCCUCAGCGCCGAUGGUACUCCGGUAAUACGUGGGAGAGUAGGUCGUUGCCAGUU
rfam:Reichenbachiella agariperforans strain DSM 26134 genome assembly, contig: Ga0070003_111